UUGACCUNGGAUCAGGUAGGGAUACCCGNUGAACUUAAGCAUAUCAAUAAGCGGAGGAAAAGAAACCAACCGGGAUUGCCUCAGUAACGGCGAGUGAAGCGGCAACAGCUCAAAUUUGAAAUNUGGCUCCCUUNGGGCGCCCGAGUUGUAAUUUGUAGAGGAUGUUUUGGGUGCGGCNCCGUUNUAAGUUCCUUGGAACCGGGCGUUAUAGAGGGUGAGAAUUCCGUACGUGACCGGUUGCCAACCCCAUGUGAAACUCCUUUGACGAGUCGAGUUGUUUGGGAAUGCAGCUCAAAAUGGGUGGUAAAUUUCAUNUAAAGCUAAAUACCGGCCAGAGACCGAUAGCGCNCAAGUAGAGUGAUNGAAAGAUGAAAAGCCCUUUGGAAAGAGAGUUAAAAAGUACGUGAAAUUGUUGAAAGGGAAGCGCUUGCAACCAGACUCGCCCUGCGGUGAUCCAUUGUCCUUUUGGGCGGUGCCCUNUCCGUAUGGCGGGCCAGCAUCGGUUCGAGCGGCCGGAUAAAGGCCCCGGGAACGUAGCUCUCUUNGGGGAGGGGUAUAGCCCGGGGUGCCCUGCGGCCAGUUUGGACCGAGGACCGCGC
rnacentral:rRNA from 1 species